rnacentral:rRNA from 1 species
AAUUGAAGAGUUUGAUCAUGGCUCAGAUUGAACGCUGGCGGCAGGCCUAACACAUGCAAGUCGAGCGGUAGCACAGAGAGCUUGCUCUCGGGUGACGAGCGGCGGACGGGUGAGUAAUGUCUGGGAAACUGCCUGAUGGAGGGGGAUAACUACUGGAAACGGUAGCUAAUACCGCAUAAUGUCGCAAGACCAAAGUGGGGGACCUUCGGGCCUCAUGCCAUCAGAUGUGCCCAGAUGGGAUUAGCUAGUAGGUGGGGUAACGGCUCACCUAGGCGACGAUCCCUAGCUGGUCUGAGAGGAUGACCAGCCACACUGGAACUGAGACACGGUCCAGACUCCUACGGGAGGCAGCAGUGGGGAAUAUUGCACAAUGGGCGCAAGCCUGAUGCAGCCAUGCCGCGUGUGUGAAGAAGGCCUUCGGGUUGUAAAGCACUUUCAGCGGGGAGGAAGGCGGUGAGGUUAAUAACCUCAUCGAUUGACGUUACCCGCAGAAGAAGCACCGGCUAACUCCGUGCCAGCAGCCGCGGUAAUACGGAGGGUGCAAGCGUUAAUCGGAAUUACUGGGCGUAAAGCGCACGCAGGCGGUCUGUCAAGUCGGAUGUGAAAUCCCCGGGCUCAACCUGGGAACUGCAUUCGAAACUGGCAGGCUAGAGUCUUGUAGAGGGGGGUAGAAUUCCAGGUGUAGCGGUGAAAUGCGUAGAGAUCUGGAGGAAUACCGGUGGCGAAGGCGGCCCCCUGGACAAAGACUGACGCUCAGGUGCGAAAGCGUGGGGAGCAAACAGGAUUAGAUACCCUGGUAGUCCACGCCGUAAACGAUGUCGAUUUGGAGGUUGUGCCCUUGAGGCGUGGCUUCCGGAGCUAACGCGUUAAAUCGACCGCCUGGGGAGUACGGCCGCAAGGUUAAAACUCAAAUGAAUUGACGGGGGCCCGCACAAGCGGUGGAGCAUGUGGUUUAAUUCGAUGCAACGCGAAGAACCUUACCUGGUCUUGACAUCCACAGAACUUUCCAGAGAUGGAUUGGUGCCUUCGGGAACUGUGAGACAGGUGCUGCAUGGCUGUCGUCAGCUCGUGUUGUGAAAUGUUGGGUUAAGUCCCGCAACGAGCGCAACCCUUAUCCUUUGUUGCCAGCGGUCCGGCCGGGAACUCAAAGGAGACUGCCAGUGAUAAACUGGAGGAAGGUGGGGAUGACGUCAAGUCAUCAUGGCCCUUACGACCAGGGCUACACACGUGCUACAAUGGCAUAUACAAAGAGAAGCGACCUCGCGAGAGCAAGCGGACCUCAUAAAGUAUGUCGUAGUCCGGAUUGGAGUCUGCAACUCGACUCCAUGAAGUCGGAAUCGCUAGUAAUCGUAGAUCAGAAUGCUACGGUGAAUACGUUCCCGGGCCUUGUACACACCGCCCGUCACACCAUGGGAGUGGGUUGCAAAAGAAGUAGGUAGCUUAACCUUCGGGAGGGCGCUUACCACUUUGUGAUUCAUGACUGGGGUGAAGUCGUAACAAGGUAACCGUAGGGGAACCUGCGGUUGGAUCACCUCCUUACCUUA